AGUGGCGGACGGGUGAGUAACGCGUGGGUAACCUACCUCAUACAGGGGGAUAACAGUUGGAAACGACCGCUAAUACCGCAUAACCCGCUAGUAUCGCAUGAUACAGACGGAAAAGAUUUAUCGGUGUGAGAUGGACCCGCGUCUGAUUAGCCAGUUGGCAGGGUAACGGCCUACCAAAGCAACGAUCAGUAGCCGGCCUGAGAGGGUGAACGGCCACAUUGGGACUGAGACACGGCCCAAACUCCUACGGAAGGCAGCAG
rnacentral:rRNA from 1 species